rnacentral:lncRNA from 1 species
AUCAUCAUCAUCAUAUAUAUAUAUAUAUAUAUGUGUGUGUGUGUGUGUGUGUGUGUAAUGUGUGUGUGUGUGUAAUGUGUGUGUGUGUGUGUGUUAUAGCUAUUUUGACUGUAAACAAUGAAAUAUGGUUGGCAAAAUUAGAAUACAAUUAGAUCUUGAAAGGAAUAGUUUCAUAAUAUUUAUUUCUAACAUCGACUUAUCAACACAUUGUUUUAAUUAGUGUGUGACCAGUGGAUUGGCCACAGGGCCAUUGUAAGAAGUCAACAUUAUUUUUGCACAAAGUUUGUUGAGUGACAGUGGUUUUCUUCUUCUUCAAGAGGCCACAACCGAGAUAGAAUUCAGUUUUAACAUUUUAUGAAGUGAAAUCAAGUUUCAGGUGUGCAAAAGUUAAAUUUGAUAAAACUAGCGAUGGUCUGUGUCAGCAAAUUGGAAUAUAAAGAUUUUAAACAGUGGAAUAUAUUUUUGGCAUUUCCAAAGAAAUGUUUUUUUUCUGCAGUGUUAAAUUUUUCUCUUCUAUAAUAUUUAUAUUGGCAUAAUAUUUUAUUCCAGUUUUUUACUUUUAAUUUCCACCCGUUUGGUGGAAUUGAUAGAGUACUGGAAAAAAUGCCUUCUCCCUAGUUUUUACUAUGGCUCUUUGUGCUGAUUUCUAAUCCCAGUUAAGUAAACAUUGCCUUUUUUAUCCUCUUUUGGUUGAUAAAAUAAAAUAGCAGUCAAGUACUGGAAAUAAUUCAACAUUGCAAUAGGGCAUUGUAGGAAUUAUAAGAAGCAGAAAUCUGCAUUUUAACCCUGUUCUUAGCCUAAAGGACUGUACUAAGUCCAAGGACUUACAAAACCUGUUACCGAGUUUCCUUGAUGUAUAAAUAUCUGAGAUCAUAACUCUCCUCCUCAAUGGGAUCCCAGUCAGUCAUAGCUAUCGCUGGAUCUCAUUUAUGGCUGAGUAGACUGGAGCUAUGUGAAAUGAAGCAUUUUGCUCAAGAACACAAUGCACUGCCUGAUCUAGGAUUCGAAACCCUAGCCACCAGGACAUGUGUCUUCACCUUUUAACUCUGUUGAGUCAAUAGGCUUGAUUAAAUUAACAAUAGUCUUCUUUCCAGAAAAUUUUUGGCCUUCUGCCAAUGCAAGAAGUCAAUACUAAUAUACAAUAUACUCAUCCACAACAUAGAAAGAAUUUGACAGUUUAGUUUGGUUAGUUAGAUUGUUACAUCAUUUUCUUUAUUGAUGUAGUUUAAAAUUUUCUUUGAUUUUCUUCUAGGUUAGGAUAGUUUAUUUUGUGAUCUUGGUGGGGUUCCAUGUAAUGGAGAGUGGAUCAAAUGCAGUAGUUACCAUUUAUUUCUAGAAUUACAUUAUUUUCCCCCUUUUUUAAUGGCAUUUAUGUUUUUGCUGAUUAAAGACAAAAAAAAAAAUUCUUAAAAGAAUUAUCCCCCUUAGAUAGUAGGACAUCAUGCUCUCCUGUGCCAAAGAAAACAAAACUUGUAUGAUGUCAUACCCACCAGUAACAAGCAAUGCACAGGAAAGCAAAGCUAAGCAUAGAGUGCAUUGAGUGUGUUUGGUGUGUGCUUGUGUGUGUGUCUUUGCGUGUGUUUCUGCAUGUGCCUGUGUGUGUGUAUGUAUGUAUGUGUGUGUGUGUGUGUGUGUGUGUGUGUGUGUGUUUCUGCAUGUGAUUAUAUAUUUUAUGUUUACGUGCAACAAGCAUGGCUUUUUGAGUAAAGCUUUUUGUAUCAGUAAAGCCAAAAAUACAAAAGAUAAAAAAUUAUAAAAAAUAAAAAAAUAAAAAAAUAACUAAAAAAAAAUUGACAAUACAAGCAAAAUGCUGAGUUGAUAUUUUAGUAAGAAAUAUGAACAAAUAGGUAGCCUGUUCCCUGGAUAUGAUUAAUAUCAUCUCAGUGGUUUAGUCCCCUAUUAAAUAAGCACCAUGGGGAACUCAUAUAUCACUGAAACGAACCACAAGAGUCACUAGUCUCUAAACAACUUUAACUACCCAUAACAAUCAAAUCUGUAAUCUUGGACAUUUAGUUUAUAGUGAUUUUCUCAUCACUGUUUCACCAAUGUCUAUGUUUUGUUGAAGCUAAAACCUCUCCACGUUGUCUUCCAUGCUUCAUUUGUUUAUAUAAUUUAUAAUACAAUAACUGAAUACAAGUAGAAUCAAUCAUUGGGUCAUUGCAUUAUUGACCAUUAAAUAUUUCAGUUGUGAUAGUUAAAGACUAAUAAGGUUCAUUUCUCACAUCACAUUAUUAUUUCAGGUUUAGGUUUUUUUUUGCCUUUUGUUUUUUUAAAUUAUGUUCCUUGUAUUGAACAUGUUAGUUAAAGGAAACUGAACUUAAUAUUCUUUUCUACCCUAGGUACAAGGCCCGAAAUUUUUGAGGAGGGGGCCAGUCGAUAGAUUGACCCCAGUAUACAACUGGUACUUAAUUUAUCAACCCCAAAAGGAUGGAAGGCAAAGCGGACCUCAGCGGAAUUUGAACUCAGAACGUAAAGACAGAUGAAAUACUGCUAAGCAUUUUGCCCAGCGUGCUAACGUUUCUGCCAGCUCGCUGCCUUAAACUGAACUCAAUGUUAACAAAUAGUUUGUUAACUUGCAGAUCUGAGAGUGGUCUGAAAUUCCAUUACUGGUUGGAGGGAUCACUGACAGGUCUCAUUGAAAAGAAAAGUUUAGGGAGGAGAUGGAAGAGGAAGUGAGGAAGGAGGUGGGGGGAGGAAGACGAAGAGAGGAAACCAGAGAAGGAAUAUAAGGAGGAGGAAGAGGAGGAAGAAGAAGAAGAAGGAGGAGGAUGACGACAAGGAGAAGAAGAAGAAGAAGAAGAAGAAGAAGAAGAAGAAGAAGGAGAAGAAGAAGAAGAAGAAGAAGAAGAAGAAGAAGAAGAAAAAGUGAAGGGAAGAGAAUAAGAGUAAGAUGAUGUAGAAAAAGCAGGAGAGUAAAAAAGUUUUUCUGUCUAUUAUCUUGAGAUCAAAUACUCCUUUGAGUAUAGUUUAGUGAACAUAUGGUCACUAGCGGUUGGACUAAUGUCAUAAGCAACAUGAAAAUUUUAUUUUAUUUUCAUUUACUAUUUUAAGUUUUUUGUUGUUUUUUUUUUGUAUACUGAUUUAGCAAAUUUGGACAUUUGCUUUAUUUUGAAGUAAAUAUUUCUACAACAGGAUUUUAUUUUCUACUACAAUUCAUUGGAAUGUGGAGCAGGGACAUGGAAAGUUGGAUGUGAAACCUAUUUUGUCAGCUAGGUAGACUGAAGUAAUACAUCAACAUCCUACAUUUGAUUGAACUUGUAUAAUUGUUUCUAUCGUUUAUAGAUAUCUCCCCACUCACAAUAUUUUAGGUCAUUAUCCUACUGUAUUUACUGGCAUAUAAAAUACACUCUGACAUAAAAUGCAACCCUAUUUGACAAAGCAUAUUUUGUGGAAUGAACAAAUUUAGUAUUUGUCAUCAUACACAUAUUGAAAGAUAUUUUAAAGUGGUUUUUAUAGGUGGAAAAUAUAUGCAUCUGUGCAUAUUGAUAUAAUGUGCUGUGACAAUAUACUAGAGUAAAGUAUGAAACAUAUUAAAACUCUGACAUCUGGCAACUCACUUGGUAGAAACCUACAAGAUUAACUGCCAUCUUUCCAACAAUAACUUUGGGCAUUUUCUUAAAUUCCAUAUGUCUAACACUUAUGGAUAUGUUUACAAAAUCAAAAAACAAUAUGGCACCCGUGUUUUUGGGAAACAUUUAUUCAUGCUCAGAAUGGCUGAAGCAUGAAACAAACUACCUGCAUCAGUUGUUAGCUGUUGAGACACUACAUCCUUCAAAACUUCCAUGCUUCCUGAAAUUCGCCAACAGUACACCCCCACUCCAUUUCUUUUCUCAUUUUCAUUUUUUUUUAAAGACUUAUUCACUGUUCACUUCCUGUGUAUAUUCUAUAUACUGUUCAUGCAGUUUUGGUUACUUUUUCUGAUGAGUUGUAGUGCACCUGAGCACUGUAUACAAUAAGUUCAUUCUUGUUAUUAGCCACAAAUUUAUCAUAAAUAAUCAACAUUAUAUGAGCAUUGUAUUUCAACUUUUUCUUCUUUUAGAUCAAUUGCAAAUUUAUUUAUAUUUUGGUUAUAAGAGUUGCUAUACAGGAUGUAAAACUCAUAUUUUUGGCUAUGAUGUUUUUGUUACUCUGAUCCAUCACCAGGGUGGGGCAUCAUCACUAUACUUUUUUUGUCAUGCACUCAUUACAAAUAGCUGACAGGUAGAUGAAAGUUAAACAUUCCUUUUAUCUUUCUAGAAGAAAAUGUUUCUUAAAGGUAACAUAGCCAUUAAAUAAUGUAAGACACAUUUGUUGUGGGUUAUGUAAGCUGGGGGAAGGAGAUAUAAAGAGAUGUUGUGAAAUCCCCACAUAACUGCUGUACCUUAACUGUACCUUAAGCAAUUUUUCAUAAGUUUGUUCUAAUAAGCUGUGAUAGUUUGGCUUGCUUUUCAAUAUUUAUUAUCAGUGACAAUUAUUGUGUCUUGUGGACUUAUGCUUAGCUUCCCUAGCCUAAAGCACUCAAUCUCUUAUCCAUAAUAUGGCUGCAUCAAAUACAGAGUGAUUUUUUUUUAUACAUUUGAUAAUAAAAGAAGCAUGUCUUAUAUGCCAGUAAAUAUGGUACUUACAUAAAAGGAAUAUUGUCAUCCUCCUUCAACUACUCUUCCUUCUUCCACUCCUCCUCAUCAUCAUAAUCAUCCUUGUUAGCAAAACCAUCACUAUCAUCAACAAGAUCUUUGUUAUUUGUUUACCAAUGGACUUUGUUGAUUUGAUUUUUAUGUUUAUUAGGUUUGUUUUACUAUUUAUUUUGCAACAUGUAGGUAGUGAUAGUGAAAGUAGUGGUGGUGGAGCUGACACUCUGGUUGGUAUUAUUUCUUAUACAUUCUUAAACCAAUGACUGCCCCAAAUAUUUUGUUUGCUAUGAAAUUCUAAAUUAUGAUACUUGCUCUGUCAUGAGAUUUAUCUUCCAUUAUAAUUUCUCAGAUGUUUUCUUUGUCCCACAUACAUACAUACAUACAUACAUACAUACAUACAUACAUACAUACAUACAUACAUACAUACAUACAUACAUACAUACAUACAUACAUACAUGCAUGCAUGCAUAUUAGUUGUCAACUCGUCCUCAAGUAAGUUAUCUUGGAAUUUCUUCUUGAGCCUCUUUCAUGACUUUGUAAAUGACUUUUCAGGCCAGAUUUCAACUUCACAGAAUCAUACAUACAUAUGUACAUCAUUAUCAUCAUCAUUUGUCAUCCAAUUUCCAUGUUGGCAUGGUUCUGGCAAGCUUCAAAUCAGCUUUGAUUCCUACAACUGGAUGCUCUUCUUAACACCAACCACUUUACAGAGUGUAUAGAAUGCUUUUUUUGUGAAUUACUAGCACUUGUGAGGUUGCCAAGUAACUUGUAAGAGAGGAGAAGAACAAGGAAGAAUAGGGAAAGGAAAAGGAAAAAGCUCCUUCAAUAAAGUGAGGGAGUAUUUGAGAAGGGAAAGUGGCUUCAUGCUUGUUGGGCUAAAGUAAGAUAGAGGGACAAGUACAGGUAUCUUGCUUUAGAAGAGAUACAUGGCUCACCCCUAUUAUGUAUAGAGGUGGGUGGCAGUAGUUGAGAAGGAAAUAAAGGAAGGUAGUGGUGGAGUGCCAGAGUGAACUCUCAAAGUUCAAGAAGGAGGGCAUAAGACAGGAUAAGGACGGUGGUUCAUGGGAAGGAAGGUGGGAAGGAAUGCAUUCAUAGAGUGUGAGUAGUGACAUUCAUAGGCAUGUAUGUAUGUAUAUAUUAUUUAGGCAUGCAUGUAUAUAUGCAUAUAUGUGUGUGUAUGUGUGUCUGCAUGCAUGUGUGCAUGCAUGUGCGUGCAUGUGUGUGUGUGUAGUCAACAAGUACAUCAUCAUAAAUGCAGAGCAAAGCAGACUGAAAGAAAGCUAUCACAAUUUGACAGUCAGCAUUUGUCACUAAUUUCUUCAUUUUUCAAAGACAUCCCAAACUGAUAAACAGACAACAUCGACCAUCGACACACACACCCACACACAUAUUGUGAAACAAAAAGAAUAAAGAAAAUACAGUUGGGAGAAGUGUUUUUUUUCAAAUAUUGCAUUAGUUUGAUGCUUUAGUGUGUAUGUAUGUGUGCAUAUGCAUGUAUGUGAAUAUGCAGGUAUAUAUGCAUUUGUGCCUUAUAGAAUCUGUAGCUUCAAUUUCAUUCUAUACCAAAACUUGUGUACCGUACAUCUCUUGUACACUAGUUCUAGUACAUAGCAUAUAUUUUUGUUAAAAACAUCUUGUUCAUUGUACACACAUUGUCUUCUAUAUCUUAAAUGUGCUACAUCCUUUUUAUACAAACCUUUGCACAAAUGAAGCUUUCCUACUCACUUUUUAAUUGUAGUACAUUUUGUUUUAUACAAACCAAACUUUUACACAAUGACAGUUUGUUAUACACCAUAUCUUAGAUAUGCUACAUGUUAUUUUUAUACAAACUAUGACACAUUGAAAAUCUUUUUAUGCUCAACACCUGAGAUGUACUUUAUCCUUUUUUAUACAAAAAUUUUAAUAUUUUUAUAUUUAAUAUUUUAUAUUUAAUAUAUUUUGUAUUCAAUAUCUAUAAUCUUUUAUACACUUUUUACACAAAAUCUUACAGAUUGCAUAUCUUCAUAGUCUCCAGCUUGUAUGUGGUAGAUCCUUUUUACACAAAGCCCGUCAUGGAUAGUCACUGUUUUAGAUAUGGUAUAUCCCUUUAUUCAAACCCUUACACACUGAAUAUGAUUUGUACUCUCCAUCUUGAUUCAGUGUGGAAUUUUUGUUUUACUUUAAGUCCUGCAUAUUGAAUAUCACGUAGACAACAUUAUAAUAUUGUAUAUAUAUAUAUAUUUUGUGAGGUAUGCUUUGAUGCCAUACACUUUACCAGAAUCUUUUGACUCGGGUCCAGUAAAACAUUCCAUUGCUAUAUCCUUGUUAGUAUUAACCAUGUUAUUGAAGCAAGGACAUUUAAUAUAAGUGUUUCAAGUAAUUUUGUAAGAGAGUUCUUACAUUAUAACUUAUUCAUCUGAGAUGUUUUGACUGAAGAGAAUUUAUGUAAGAACUCUUUUACAUAAAUGCUUGAAAUACAAAUAACACCUUUGAUUAUGUCAUUGUAUGUGUCAAAAAAGAAAAAAAACUUACAUAUUUAAUAUAAUUACACAAAAUUUUGUACAUUUUAAAUUCUUUGUACAGCAAAUCUUUCAUAUUAUUUUUCCAUAAAUACUGUAUGUUUGUUUUUUGUUCAUAAAGUCUUGCAUUCUCUGUAUCAUAUGUGCACAAAUUCACAUACUGCGUAUCAUUUGUACUGGACACCUUAUAAAUACAUACACCCAUACAUACUCAUGCACUCACACACAUAUAUACAUAUGUAUUUGUGUAUGUGUGUAUAUACAUACAUACACGCAUGCAUGCAUACAUGCAUACAUACAUACAUACAUACAUACAUACAUACAUACAUACAUACAUACAUACAUACAUAUAUAUAUAUAUAUAUAUAUAUAUAUAUAUAUAUAUAUAUGCAUAUACCAGAGUAAGCAUAUACAUGUGAAACAAGGUGAGAAAAAAUAGUACUUGAAUACUGGAGGUAGAGUAAUAUGCUUUAUUAUUAAAGCUGCAAAAACUGCUGUGAAUUUGAAUCAACUGCUCAAUGAACGGGAACGUGAAACUCUGAGUAGCAGAUUUUUGUGAUGGUUUUGCAGGUUUAAUAAUAUUCAUACAGACAUACAUACAUACAU